rnacentral:rRNA from 1 species
AACGAACGCUGGCGGCAUGCCUAACACAUGCAAGUCGAACGAGACCUUCGGGUCUAGUGGCGCACGGGUGCGUAACGCGUGGGAAUCUGCCCUUGGGUUCGGAAUAACUGUUAGAAAUGACUGCUAAUACCGGAUGAUGACUUCGGUCCAAAGAUUUAUCGCCCAAGGAUGAGCCCGCGUAAGAUUAGCUUGUUGGUGAGGUAAGAGCUCACCAAGGCGACGAUCUUUAGCUGGUCUGAGAGGAUGAUCAGCCACACUGGGACUGAGACACGGCCCAGACUCCUACGGGAGGCAGCAGUGGGGAAUAUUGGACAAUGGGCGAAAGCCUGAUCCAGCAAUGCCGCGUGAGUGAUGAAGGCCUUAGGGUUGUAAAGCUCUUUUACCCGGGAUGAUAAUGACAGUACCGGGAGAAUAAGCCCCGGCUAACUCCGUGCCAGCCGCCGCCGUAA